rnacentral:rRNA from 1 species
UACGGAGGGGGCUAGCGUUGUUCGGAAUUACUGGGCGUAAAGCGCACGUAGGCGGCUUUGUAAGUUAGAGGUGAAAGCCCAGGGCUCAACCCUGGAUUGCCUUUAAGACUGCAUCGCUUGAACAUCGGAGAGGUAAGUGGAAUUCCGAGUGUAGAGGUGAAAUUCGUAGAUAUUCGGAAGAACACCAGUGGCGAAGGCGACUUACUGGACGACUGUUGACACUGAGGUGCGAAAGCGUGGGGAGCAAACAGG